CCCAUUACAUACCUCAUACACAAGGUAACUGGGGACAGUAGACCCCCCCCCAUAACACCUCAUACACAAGGUAACUGGGGACAGUAGGUCCCCCCCCAUAACACAUCUCAUACACAAGGUAACUGGGGACAGUAGGUCCCCCCCCCCAUAACACCUCAUACACAAGGUAACUGGGGACAGUAGGUCCCCCCCCCAUUACACACCUCAAACACAAGGUAACUAGGGACAGUAGACCCCCCCCCAUAACACCUCAAACACAAGGUAACUGGGGACAGUAGGUCCCCCCCCCCCAUAACACCUCAUACACAAGGUAACUGGGGACAGUAGGUCCCCCCCCAUAACACAUCUCAUACACAAGGUAACUGGGGACAGUAGGUCCCCCCCCCCCAUAACACCUCAAACACAAGGUAACUAGGGACAGUAGACCCCCCCCCAUAACACCUCAAACACAAGGUAACUGGGGACAGUAGGUCCCCCCCCCCAUAACACCUCAUACACAAGGUAACUGGGGACAGUAGGUCCCCCCCAUAACACCUCAUACACAAGGUAACUGGGGACAGUAGGUCCCCCCCCCCAUAACACCUCAUACACAAGGUAACUGGGGACAGUAGACCCCCCCCCAUAACACCUCAUACACAAGGUAACUGGGGACAGUAGACCCCCCCCCCAUAACACCUCAUACACAAGGUAACUGGGGACAGUAGGUCCCCCCCCAUAACACAUCUCAUACACAAGGUAACUGGGGACAGUAGACCCCCCCCCAUAACACCUCAUACACAAGGUAACUGGGGACAGUAGACCCCCCCAUAACACCUCAUACACAAGGUAACUGGGGACAGUAGGUCCCCCCCCCAUAACACCUCAUACACAAGGUAACUGGGGACAGUAGGUCCCCCCCCCCAUAACACCUCAUACACAAGGUAACUGGGGACAGUAGACCCCCCCCCCCCCAUAACACCUCAUAUACAAGGUAACUGGGAAUAGUAGACCCCCCAUAACACCUCAUACACAAGGUAACUGGGGACAGUAGAUCCCCCCAUAACACCUAAUAGGCAAGGUAACUGGGGACAGUAGACCCUCCCAUAACACCUCACACACAAGGUAACUGGGGACAGUAGACUCUCCCAUAACACCUCACACACAAGGUAACUGGGGACAGUAGACCCCCCCCCCCCAUAACACCUCAUACACAAGGUAACUGGGGAUAGUAGAUCUCCCCAUAACACCUAAUAAGCAUGGUAACUGGGGACAGUAGAUUAUUAUGUUGUAAAAUAUUAUUAUGCUGUUUGAAUUCAUAACAAGCACUGUUUCUAGCCAGUGUACAGUGCUGCCCACUGUUAGUGCUUUUUGCAGUUGUUAAAUUGGAGUAGUUUGGCUGGAGCAUGGUAGCCAAAUAUGAACCAAUCAGGUGCCCACUGAUGCCAUGUGACUGGCAGGUGAGGGACUCGGACUGUCUGUUAUAUUUUUCCUUGUGUUUGAAAGGCCAGUCAUUUUGCAGUCACUGUAUUACACAGACUGCGACUUCAAUGUUGCCUACAAGUUCAAAGCAGGAUAUCAUAGAAUGGGUACAUUUUCUGUGUUUCGGAGAUUUCUUAUUUCUUGUGGUAUGUACAUGGAUUGGUUUGUUUAGGGCUUGUUUUCCUUAUUUGAGGCCCUGUCCUUCUGUAUAAUCGAUGGCAAAAAGGAUUCUGGCAGGUUGAAGGCCUUUGUAUAGAAAGUGUGACUUUUGGUAUUGCUACUACGUUUUUUUUUUGAAGAAGAAGAAACUGGUUCAGCUUCUGUUUUGCGUCUGUGAGGUGUAGUUUGUGAAGAAGUAUUGAUGAAAUGGGGGCCAACCCAAGAGCAGUAAGUAGAAUUUUAGCAAAAACAAUCAGUGUCAGGAAAGCUUGGGCAAAGGUAUGAUUUAGUGGUAGGGUUAGGGAUGGCUGUUUGGAGAUUCAGGCAAUUAUCAUUGAUAAGGAGACUAAGUUUGAAUGGAACAUGAAUCGUAUAACUCAGCCUUUCCUACAUUGCCUUGAUCAUUUCCCCACUUAGAUAUCGCAGCACUGACUGGAUUGAGAUGCUUGAUUUCCACUGUAUCCCAAGCAUUUUUGCUUUCGGCAUGUGAGGAAGGUGAAGGAAAGUCUUUGUAAGCUGACUGGAAGUUUUACUUUUGCUUCUUGUGAUGUUUUUGCCCGGCAGAGAGGUUCAUGCUGAUAUUCCAGUCAUGAUAAUGCAUUCAAAUCAACAUGUGCUGAUGUGUUCCAAUUAGCACAAGGUGUAUAUCCUGAGGAGAGGAGAACUCCUUAAGAACAGCAGAAAAUGAUGAUACAGGCACCCAGGUAUACUUUUCUUGUUUAUGAUCUGCUGUAGUCUGGAAACUGCCUGGAAUUUUGUAGGAAUAAAUGGGAGAAAUCUUCAGCUGUUCAGUUUGUUUCAGGGUGAACCUUUUUUCCUGCAGUGCCUACAUACCACCAGGGGGAGCUGUUCUACUCAGCUUUUCCAAGGAAAUGUGAGGGAAUGUCUAAUAUCUGUAGUGUGGGGGUGUUAAACCAGCAUACUUCUUCACAGCACUCAGCACUGUGUUAUUCUUAAAAGCCCCGUGAUUUUUCCUUUUUUUAUGAAUUCUUCACACAUUUUUAUUGUAUUUUGUAAUACUUUUAAUAGCUACGGUCAUCUUUAGGUGAUUUAUUUCUAUUUUUGAGGAUGGUAAUUUGCUUUAGACUUCUUUCCCAUUUCUGUGAAAUAAGAGUGUUGGUUUCGCUAAUUAUUUUUAAAUCUCCAGUUUGUUUUAUUGUGAAAGAACAGUGACCUCUCUGGGAUAUUACAGGCAAUUACAGGGAUUACUUGUCUUUCAUUGGAUGGUUUCCAUUUUAUUUUUUUUAAUUCCUGUCUUUAGUUGCUUUUUAGGAGGAAAUUGAAAAAAAAAAUGUUAAUGGUCAUAUAUAGCCUCUCCCCAGGUUAUGAUGGGGUAAACCGAUAAAUUGAUCGUAAGGUGAAAAUGCAUUUUAGAGCAGUACACCUACCCCAGUGGUUCUCAGACUCGGUCCUCUGGCCCCACUGCCCUGCUUGUUUUCCAGCUCUCCCUGCCCUACACACUGCUGAUUACCUGGAUCAGGUGUGUUCAGUCAAUCAGAAGCUGAAAGACAGCUGGGACUUGUGUGUGGGGCAGGGAUAGCAGGAAAACAAGCAGGGUAGUGGGGCCCGAGGACCACCUUUGAGAACCACUGACCUAACAUAACAAACACCAUAGCCUAUCCUACCUUAAACAUGCUUAGAAUGUGUACAUUACCCUACAGUCGGGCAAAAUCAUUAACACAAAGCUUAUGUUAUAAUAAAGUUCUAAAUAUCUCACGUAAUUUAUUAAAUAAUGUACUGAAAGUGAAAAACAUUUACCCAUUGUUAAGUCGAGACAUCAUAACCUGGGAAGCGUCCGUAUUUAUCAAUCUCUCUGAAAUAUUGGUGCUAUAAUUCAUUUUUUUGACUUGAAAUAAGGGUGGUAUGGGGGUGCAGUGAUUAGCACUGUUGCCUCACACCUCUGGGCCCAUGGUUUGAGCCUCUGCCACGGCUGUAUGUGUGUGGAGUUUGCAUGCUCUCCCCGUGUCGUCGUGGGGUUUCCUCUGGGUACUCUGAGUUCCCCCCACAGUGCAAAAACCUGCUGAGGUUAAUUGGAGUUGCUAAAUUGUCCGUAGGUGUGAAUGGUGUGUGACUGUGCCCUGACAUGGAUUGGUGCCCCAUCCUGGGCUGUUCCCUGCCUUCUGCCAAUAGGCUCUGGACGCCCGUGACCCUGAAUAAGACGAGCUGUUUCAGGAAAGGAAUGGAUGGAUGGACUUGAAAUAUAUCUGGGGCAGCGAGAAGAGUCUUGCUUACAGGUUUGUUGAGCAGGACAUCAAGUCAGUCAGGACUUUGUUCCUCAGGGUGACAUCCUUGUGGUAGACAUUUUUAAAACCAUUGGUCUGACCAGCAGCAGGUUUUUGAAAUAUUACCUUCAUCCAGAAUUCUACUAAAAAAAACUGCAUGUAAGACAGCCGGUUUAUUUUUUUUCUGUAUUGAGCCAAAACUUUUGAUUUGUUUUAAAAUGAGCACAGUCUUUAUUUUUGUUUUUACGUUCAAUCAGAAAAUGAUUUCAGGUGUCAGACAACUGAAUGUGUGCUCAGCAGAUUACUCAACAAAACCUUUGUAAUAAGACUUGAUUUGUUUGCCAAAGCUUGAAGAGCAUUAUCCUCACCUGUACGACAUUUAUAUUCUAUUUUAGCAUUUUUAGCCAUGCUGUGUCCUGGGCUCUUGGUUUUUGUUUAUUUCUCCUUGCUGAAGUGGAUUUGACAGCCUUACUGCUGUCCCAGCUGUACUGACACCGUUCAGAAACUCGCGUUGCGCUGUUUCAGUAUGAUGUUCAUGUUUGUAACUCUCAUUCCGCAUAUCUUCAGGUGAACCUUCAUGUACCAUCAGUGGCAUUGAUGAAAGUGAGAACCGUGAUACCGAGGGAGUGCGAAAGUGCAGGAAAUAGAGAGGAAGGGACUACAUGCUGUAUCGUUUUGCCACCUUAAUGGAAGUUUUAUUAGGAUAUGUGGAGAUAAAGACAUAGAGAUUUAUAUGACGGCAAGUGACCGAGUUAAUUUGCUUGUAUUGGGGGCGAUAACCUGGACUCAUGUAAAUUCAUGCAUUUUGUUAUUCAGAAUAAUGUAACAAAUUAAAUACUUCGAUGUUCUCUUCGCGAUGGAUUUUAAAUGAUUUUCUGUAUGACCGUUUAAAGCACACCACGUGAUGGUUACACGGCUUUUGCUGAUCUUUUGCUUGUUACACCUGUGUGACCAAGCAAACUCAGUUUUCUAGGUAAUGUGUCAUCAGACAUAACCAAAUGAAAUGCUAUGGUGGAAAAUGAGAUACUUUGUAAGUCCUUCCUCUCUGACUGCCUCUCUCCCUCGGCAUUUGUGCUCCUAAUCGCUGUAGAUCCUGUGGACUACCUCUAAGACAAGGCACACUACCUCACCUCUUCCCAGAGCUGUUCCACCGCUGACCCAAAAUGAUCUAUUCCCCAACACAGCGCCAACGCAGCCUACAACCCCCGCAAAAGUCAGGCCUCCCUAACCCUAACCCUGCUCAAAUACUCUGUUUCAUGUCAGACGCUUCCUUAAGCUGUAACAUCCACGUGAACCUUUUCUAGGGGAACUUGAAUAUUUGAAUACAAUAUAUGUGUCCAUGGUUUGAUAAUAUAGUAAAUAUUAAACUAAUCAUACCAGAAAACAAAAAAAUGAGGCAACAAAAUGAGGUUCCUCAAGUCCUUGAAGGGACCGACUUCCAUGGGGGGAUGAGUUUGGCUUCAGGGGUGAGGUGGGGCUCUGGGAAAUGUGGGUCAGUGUGCCUCUGUACCCAAGUCACAGCCACAUACCUGUUCUCUUAAUACCUCAGCAAAGUCAGGAUACUCAUCUGUUCAUACGGUCAGUGCUGGGCCUGUGAGCCAGCCAGAGCAGCAUGAGAAUUUACGUAUAUAUUUUGGGAGAUGAUUUUAUGUGCUUGUUCCUGGCUGGCUGCAAUGCCAUGUUUUUAUAUGAAGAUUUUUUAUAUUUUUUAUAUUGUUGUUGCUAUUUGGGCGUGUUUUAUGGUUUGUGAUUUUUAAGUCUCUUAGUAAGUCUGCUAUAUAUGAAAGUAUUCCCUCUGAAUUUUGUUCUGUAGUGUAUCUUUACUUGAACUUAUAACCAUUUUUAUUUGACUGGUUUUGUGUUUUCCCUUAACAUUUUUAAUGCUUCUGUGUGAAUGGAGAUAGUAGUGAUUUUCCUUAUGCUUUCCUUAUGCAAUAAAAAUAUUUCUUAUGGAACAUUA